AAUGCUUCAAGCCAAGGGAUUUGC
rnacentral:siRNA from 1 species